rnacentral:rRNA from 1 species
AACGAACGCUGGCGGCAUGCCUAACACAUGCAAGUCGAACGAGAUCUUCGGGUCUAGUGGCGCACGGGUGCGUAACGCGUGGGAAUCUGCCCUUUGGUUCGGAAUAACAGUUGGAAACGACUGCUAAUACCGGAUGAUGACGAAAGUCCAAAGAUUUAUCGCCAGAGGAUGAGCCCGCGUAGGAUUAGCUAGUUGGUGUGGUAAAGGCGCACCAAGGCGACGAUCCUUAGCUGGUCUGAGAGGAUGAUCAGCCACACUGGUGCUGAGACACGGCCCAGGAUCCUACGGGAGGCAGCAGUGGGGAAUAUUGGACAAUGGGCGAAAGCCUGAUCCAGCAAUGCCGCGUGAGUGAUGAAGGCCUUAGGGUUGUAAAGCUCUUUUACCCGGGAUGAUAAUGACAGUACCGGGAGAAUAAGCUCCGGCUAACUCCGUGCCAGCCGCCGCCGUAA